CUGCAAUGUUCUGCCAUGCUGGGAGAAAGAAUUUUACAUGUAUACUGAUCUCCAGUUAUCAACCACUUCAAACUAUGGAGAAGAAAUGAUGAGAGGGAGCAGUGAUAAAUACAAGAUGUGCCCCAAGUGCCUUGACACUGCUGAACUGCCAAGCUGCAGGACCUCGCCAAUUACACGGCUGCUUUUCCAUGGCAGACCUGUGUGUUAAUUCACAGGUGUCCAAGACCUAACAUGCAUUAAGGCAACGUAGAGGCUGCUGUUGCUUCUGACCACUGGAGUGAAAGGGAAGAGGUGUCCCUGCAAUCUAGAAUUCUUACACCCAAGGUAUUAAAACUUCUUCACCAAAGCUAUAACUCCAGUACGAUGGAGGCAAGCAAAAGCAUUAUGGCAAAUGUGAGACAACUCCAGAGGGGUUCAAACCAGUGAAGACAGAGGCCACACAAAGAUGCCAAUUAAUUAUCAAGGGGCAGAAAUCUCUUGAAGCUCAGUUUUCCUGCCUGCCUUUGUGGAAAACAUUCAACAAAUAAGAAGAGUCUCACAGCAUCUUGGGCUGAUCCUGUUUUCAGUAGUCAACCACUUAAAACUGUUUUGCAGAUCUGAGUAUUCUGAUGGACUAGUAAUUGUCUCUAGAGCAGCAGCAGAUAUGCUGCAGCAUUUUGUCUCAGGUUUUAUAAGAGGAAGGUAAAAUAACGCACUGAGAUGAUUUGGUCACAGAUAUUGCUGCCAUCUAAACUGACAAUAAAAGACCAUCUAGUCUGCUGUUGUUAUCAUAUGAACAUGUUGACUGUGGUCCAGAGAUGGAGGUGUGGAUAAUGUGCCUGCACUUGAAAUGUGCACUUCAACUACAGAACAUCUGGCAACUAGACUCAACAGAUCUGAUGCUGCUGAGAACCCCAUCUUCCCCAUCUCCCAAACUUCUGAUGCUUCAGCUUCAGAGCCUCUUGACACAGUGCAGGACAGAAGGUGUGAUCCUAGCUUCUGUUGCUACUGAUUCUGAACUGUCAUGCAUGCCAUAUACAAGGAAAAUACGACUUUCACUGGCCCAAUCAUACUCAUAAGGAAAAUUCUACCUCAGUUUCCCCAGGAAGUUGUCUUACAUUGGAAUUAGUUCAGAUUGACUCAGAGCACUAGCUGACAAAAUGCUGUGAGAAUUAUGUUAUAUUUAGUAAAUCCAAAGAAAUAUAUAUUGAUUUUCAUUCAUACAAAAUUAGAAAUCUCCCUCAGUUUGCUGAAACCAUUAUCCAGUUAGAACUGUCAAAGCAUUCAUCAUCUGGAAAACAUCAUCCUUAUAAAAUGAUUGCUACACACAGGUUAAUAAUGAUUCUUAGGUCGCUUAAUUUUGUGCCUAGUGGAAAUUUCUUUGAAUAAUUCCUGAAGAAUUUCAUGAGGAUGUUAUUGACUUGAAUAGAAGUUCAAAAUGCAUGGGUCUUAAACAAAAAAAACCAACUGAAUCAUUUAGUACAUGGAGUAUACUUUACACAAGAUCUGAAAUGAUCAGUGUUAUAUUAAAGAGCAACUAAUCGACUUCAUGUUCUG